rnacentral:rRNA from 1 species
GGAUCAGACUUUGAUCCUGGCUCAGGACGAACGCUGGCGGCGUGCUUAACACAUGCGAGUCGAACGAAGCUUGAUUACGGAUUCUUCGGAUGAAGUAUGAUAUGACUGAGUGGCGGACGGGUGAGUAACGCGUGAGUAACCUGCCCUUCAGAGGGGGAUAGCGUUUGGAAACGAACGGUAAUACCGCAUAAUGUAUUUUGACCGCAUGGUCGAAAUACCAAAGAUUUAUCGCUGAAGGAUGGACUCGCGUCUGAUUAGGUAGUUGGUGGGGUAACGGCCUACCAAGCCGACGAUCAGUAGCCGGACUGAGAGGUUGAUCGGCCACAUUGGGACUGAGACACGGCCCAGACUCCUACGGGAGGCAGCAGUGGGGAAUAUUGCACAAUGGGCGCAAGCCUGAUGCAGCAACGCCGCGUGAAGGAAGACGGUUUUCGGAUUGUAAACUUCUGUUCUUAGUGAAGAAUAAUGACGGUAGCUAAGGAGCAAGCCACGGCUAACUACGAGCCAGCAGCCGCGGUAAUACGUAGGUGGCAAGCGUUGUCCGGAAUUACUGGGUGUAAAGGGAGCGCAGGCGGGUGAUCAAGUCAGCUGUGAAAACUACGGGCUUAACCCGUAGACUGCAGUUGAAACUGUUCAUCUUGAGUGAAGUAGAGGUUGGCGGAAUUCCGAGUGUAGCGGUGAAAUGCGUAGAUAUUCGGAGGAACACCGGUGGCGAAGGCGGCCAACUGGGCUUUAACUGACGCUGAGGCUCGAAAGUGUGGGGAGCAAACAGGAUUAGAUACCCUGGUAGUCCACACUGUAAACGAUGAUUGCUAGGUGUGGGGGGUCUGACCCCUUCCGUGCCGGAGCUAACGCAAUAAGCAAUCCACCUGGGGAGUACGACCGCAAGGUUGCAACUCAAAUGAAUUGACGG